AAAAUUUGCAGGCGAAAAGCUCGCACAUUCUGGACAAACGUGAACUGUUACUGCAAUCGCCGGCUAAGGCAGGCUCUAAAAUACAUAUUUGAAAUUGAAAAAAUGGGACACUAUCAGUGUAGUCGUAACUAAAAUGCCACUGAAAAACCUAAGGUUAUGCAAUCAUGUAACGGGUAAUUGUAAACCUCAUGUAGACUGUCUGCCAUACAUCAACCUGGACGAGAAUACCUAAUUUAGGUGCUGGAAGUGUUGG
rnacentral:sRNA from 1 species